rnacentral:rRNA from 1 species
GACGAACGCUGGCGGCGUGCUUAACACAUGCAAGUCGAACGGAAAGGCCCUGCUUGCAGGGUACUCGAGUGGCGAACGGGUGAGUAACACGUGGGUGAUCUGCCCUGCACUUCGGGAUAAGCCUGGGAAACUGGGUCUAAUACCGGAUAGGAGCCAUUUUUAGUGGGAUGGUUGGAAAGUUUUUUGGGUGUAGGGUGAGCUCGCGGCCUAUCAGCUUGUUGGGGGGGUAAUGGCCUACCAAGGCGGCGACGGGUAGCCGGCCUGAGAGGGUGGACGGCCACAUUGGGACUGAGAGACGGCCCAGACUCCUACGGGAGGCAGCAGUGGGGAAUAUUGAACAAUGGGCGCAAGCCUGAUGCAGCGACGCCGCGUGGGGGAUGACGGCCUUCGGGUUGUAAACUCCUUUCGCUAGGGACGAAGCUUUUUGUGACGGUACCUAGACAAGAAGCACCGGCUAACUACGUG